rnacentral:lncRNA from 1 species
UUUUGUUAAAUGUUUUUGACAUCUAAGUGUUAAAUUUGAACUGUCAUUUCAGACUCUUCAUUAAAGAUGAACAGGAAAGAUCAACAACAGUGAACUUUAGUCAGUUUUCCCAAUUGUGAGAGUUAAUCACCCCACCACCUCCUGACAUUACUCACAACUUCACAAGUAGGAAGUUGUGAGUAGGGAGUAGGUUUAUUCUACCAGAAGACUCUGGAAGGUUCACAGAUCGGCUGCCCACAGGGUAGAGGACAGCGUGGUCCAGCUGCCCUGCCAUCCUCCUCCAGGACUUGGAUUUGACAGUUGGCUAGGACUGGCACAAAGAGGUUCUAACCGGCUCGGUGACGGGAUGGAUACAGGCAAGCCGCCAGAGGUGUCGCUACAGUUUGUCAAGGCAGCUGCUGCCGGCCUCUGAUUGGACCAUCAUCAAAGCUGUGGGAUUGGCAGGACCUCUGUAUGGUACUUCCUCAAAAUGCCCCAUCACAAACACUCCUGUCACAAAGGUGCCUCAGCACUGCUCCAACAUCAUUCAGCUCCCACACGAAAGCUACCUGUAAUACAGGUGUGGGCAGCAGGACGAUGGAUUUAAAGGUCAUACUGGCUGUGCUGUGUCUCAUUGGUAAGUCUGACAGUGGUUUCUUAUCAUUAUAUAUGCAUAUGUCAUUUACAGCACUUUAUCUAAUCAAAUAAAACAAAUUAUUUUAACUUGAAAACUGAUGUAAAAACUGCUGGUGAUGCUUUAUUUUAAAAUGUUUUUUAAUGUUAACAUUUAAAGUACAAUGAAAUGUCAAUGUAAAAAUAUGUGUUUUAAGUCAUUUUGAUGGGAGCAUCUUUUCCUUAAAGCACAUCUUGCAAUUACUAUUGGCCCACAUACCACACAUACCACAGAAUGAUGAGAAUGGGCCAGAUGUGGUUAAAUAAAAAUUGAAGCUGAAUUUGAUGCUUAAAUGGU